rnacentral:rRNA from 1 species
GAUCGUGUCAGGAUUAACGCUGGCGGCGUGCCUAAUACAUGCAAGUCGAAUGGUAGCAAUACCAUGGCGAACGGGUGAGUAACACGUAGGUAACCUGUCUUUAAGCCGAGGAUAACCAUUGGAAACGAUGGAUAAUACUGGAUAGGAUAUUUUAAGGCAUCUUUUAAUAUUUAAAGAUUUAUCACUUAGAGAGGGGCCUGCGGCGCAUUAGCUAGUUGGUGAGGUGAAGGCUUACCAAGGCGAUGAUGCGUAGCCGGACUGAGAGGUUGAACGGCCACAAUGGAACUGAGAACGGUCCAUACUCCUACGGGAGGCAGCAGUAGGGAAUUUUCGGCAAUGGGCGGAAGCCUGAACCCGAGCAACGCCGCGUGAACGAAGAAGUAUUUCGGUAUGUAAAGUUCUUUUAUUAGGGACGAAAAGACAGAUUGACGGUACCUAAUGAAUAAGCUCCGGCUAACUACGUGCCAGCAGCUGC